rnacentral:rRNA from 1 species
AUUGAACGCUGGCGGCAGGCCUAACACAUGCAAGUCGAGCGAGCGGCGGACGGGUGAGUAAUGUCUGGGAAACUGCCUGAUGGAGGGGGAUAACUACUGGAAACGGUAGCUAAUACCGCAUACCAUCAGAUGUGCCCAGAUGGGAUUGGCUAGUAGGUGGGGUAACGGCUCACCUGGGCGACGUUCCCUAGCUGGUAUGAGAGGAUGACCAGCCCCACUUGAACUUGGACACUGUCCAGACUCCUACGGGAGGCAGCAGUGGGGAAUAUUGCACAAUGGGCGCAAGCCGGAUGCAGCCAUGCCGCGUGUGUGAAGAAGGCCUUCGUGUUGUAAAGCACUUUCAGCGGGUAGGCGUUACCCGCAGAAGAAGCACCGGCUAACUCCGUGCCAGCAGCCGCGGUAAUAC